AUGCCUGUAUCAUAUUCCUUGGACAUUUUUAUUCUUACUUAGGGAUAAAGAUUAUAUUUUUAUGAUUUCUUAAAGGAAGUUUGGUUUUGCCGUCGAGGGACUGGGUGGGAAUAGAGAACAGAUUCAUGACCUAGGCUUCGAUUGCUCUGAUGGGAUUUACGAGUAUGUGAUCUGGGUCCAAACUAAAUAGAGUUGCGACAGAACAGGGACUAUUUUUCUGGACAGGUAAGAUGAAUUUUGUGUCAUAAACGCUUUUGUAAAUUUGUUUUACGAUUAAUUUGUGCUUAUGGCACGUACACUGGAUGGAUGGAGCUUUCAUUUCUCAUAGCUGCAAUCUUAUUUCAUCAGAAAGAGUCUCUCCCAUGCCUUGUUCUGUAAUGUGAUUUCUUGAGCCUCACUGGAAGCAUCUGCUCACAUGAUCUCAAGGUCAAAGCUACAAGAACCCGUUUUAUUUUUUGUCUAGUCCCUUUAGUGGCCUCCGCCGUGUGAUUAAUAUUGUUAGAAUAUCUUUUUUCUGUCUUGUUUGAUCCUUGUGGAAUUGCUCCAUAUGAAGUUUGGAUGUCAAUUUUUAUAUUUGAUUCUUGAAACAUACAGUAUAAUACAAGCAAUAAAUUUCAGAAGAAAGAAAAAGCAACAACAAUCAAUGAUUAGCAGA